UCCCUACGGGGCGCAGCAGUGGGGGAUAUUGCACAAUGGGGGGAACCCUGAUGCAGCGACGCCGCGUGGGUGAAGGAGCGUUUCGGCGCGUAAAGCCCUAUCGGCAGGGAAGAAGGAGGACGGUACCUGACUAAGAAGCCCCGGCUAACUACGUGCCAGCAGCCGCGGUAAUACGGAGGAUGCGAGCGUUAUCCGGAUUUAUUGGGUUUAAAGGGUGCGCAGGCGGUCUGUUAAGUCAGCGGUCAAAGCCCGGGGCUCAACCCCGGCCCGCCGUUGAAACUGGCAGUCUCGAGUUGGAGAGAAGG
rnacentral:rRNA from 1 species